UGGGGAAUAUUGGACAAUGGGCGAAAGCCUGAUCCAGCCAUGCCGCGUGUGUGAAGAAGGUCUUCGGAUUGUAAAGCACUUUAAGUUGGGAGGAAGGGCAGUAAGCGAAUACCUUGCUGUUUUGACGUUACCGACAGAAAAAGCACCGGCUAACUCUGUGCCAGCAGCCGCGGUAAUACAGAGGGUGCAAGCGUUAAUCGGAAUUACUGGGCGUAAAGCGCGCGUAGGUGGUUCGUUAAGUUGAAUGUGAAAGCCCCGGGCUCAACCUGGGAACUGCAUCCCAAACUGGCGAGCUAGAGUAGGGCAGAGGGUGGUGGAAUUUCCUGUGUAGCGGUGAAAUGCGUAGAUAUAGGAAGGAACACCAGUGGCGAAGGCGACCACCUGGGCUCAUACUGACACUGAGGUGCGAAAGCGUGGGGAGCAAACAGG
rnacentral:rRNA from 1 species